rnacentral:rRNA from 1 species
CCUACGGUGGGCAGCAGUGAGGAAUAUUGGUCAAUGGACGUGAGUCUGAACCAGCCAAGUAGCGUGCAGGAUGACUGCCCUAUGGGUUGUAAACUUCUUUUAUGUGGGAAUCAAAUGUUCCACGUGUGGUGUUUUGUAUGUACCGUAUGAAUAAGGAUCGGCUAAUUCCGUGCCAGCAGCCGCGGUAAUACGGAGGAUCCGAGCGUUAUCCGGAUUUAUUGGGUUUAAAGGGAGCGUAGGUGGAUUGUUAAGUCAGGUGUGAAAGGUUGCGGCUCAACCGUGGAAUUGCAGCUGAAACUGGCAGGCUUGAGUACAGGAAAGGUGUGCGGAAUUCGUGGUGUAGCGGUGAAAUGCUUAGAUAUCACGAAGAACUCCGAUUGCGAAGGCAGUACACUGGACUGCAACUGACACUGAGGCUCGAAGGUGUGGGUAUCAAACAGGAUUAGAUACCCCAGUAGUC